rnacentral:misc_RNA from 1 species
CAGAAGGCUGUAGCAGUAGAGUAGCCUUGUUGCUACGAUCUGCUGAGGCUCAGCUCUUGUUCUACAGAUUUGUCCUUUUGGACUCUCUCUGGCUGUUAUGGACUGGGGGCGAUUGAUUUAGCUACCAGUGCUAUUGCAGGCAUAGACAGUGCAAGAGGAAAGACGAGGCAAGAGGGUGUUGCAAUGAAUCAAGUUGAAGGCAAAGCACAUGCUCGAUUUUUGAUGUGUUUUGAAUUGUAAUGAUUUGGGUCAUAAGCCAAUUCAACACCUAUAAAUUAUCCACGGCCAUAGGACUCAGAAAAUACCGCAUCCCGUCCGAUCUGCGAAGUCAAGCUA